ACGGAAGGCAGCAGUAGGGAAUCUUCCACAAUGGACGCAAGUCUGAUGGAGCAACGCCGCGUGAAUGAAGAAGGCCUUCGGGUCGUAAAAUUCUGUUGUUAGAGAAGAACAUGCGGGAGAGUAAAUGUACUUGUAUUGACGGUAUCUAACCAGAAAGCCACGGCUAACUACGUGCCAGCAGCCGCGGUAAUACGUAGGUGGCAAGCGUUGUCCGGAUUUAUUGGGCGUAAAGGGAACGCAGGCGGUUUUUUAAGUCUGAUGUGAAAGCCUUCGGCUCAACCGAAGAAUUGCAUUGGAAACUGGAAGACUUGAGUGCAGAAGAGGAGAGUGGAACUCCAUGUGUAGCGGUGGAAUGCGUAGAUAUAUAGAAGAACACCAGUGGCGAAAGCGGCUCUCUGGUCUGUAACUGACGCUGAGGUUCGAAAG
rnacentral:rRNA from 1 species